CUUAUCGGGUUGGCAAAAGGCUACUCAUCGUCUUCUUCAUCGGUGGCAACCCUCGCCCUCAGGGCCCCCGCCGCACCCUGAUCGUCUUCUUCAUCGGGCAAAGAAGCGAGCGAGAGAGAGAGAGAGAUGAGCGCAGAACUAAUCCAAGACCUCCUCGCCUCAGUUCUCGAUGAUGCAGCUAUCUGAUACCUCUUGAGGAUGAUUUUCUUUUGGAUUUGGCGGAGUAUUUGUUGACUGGAAGGCGAAUCUGCCACGCCAAGAAGGUAGGCGCAGAACUAAUCCAAGACCUCCUCGCCUCAGUUCUCGAGAUGCAACUAUCUGAUACCUUUUGAGGAGGAUUUGCUUUUGGAUUUGGCAGAGUAUUUGUUGACUGGGAGGGGAAUCUGCCGCGCCAAGAAGGGUUUCUAUCGGAUCAACAGACAAGCUGCGAGAUGGAGAAGAAGAUGGUUUCUAUUGGUCCCACGGACAAGUGGCGAGAUGGAGAUUAAGAUGUGAUUAUCACAAGUGGGCAGAUUUUUGCUUGCGGUUUAGAAAGCUGAUCUUCUCCCAACAAAAUGGAAAGACAACAGGAUUGUCAUGGGAAGAAGAAGAGCCACUAAUUUGCUAUAGUUCAGCUUCAAGAAAUCAAAUUCUGAUUCAAUUCUCAAAGGACGUCUACAUUUCCGACAAUCCAGAAUUUUAAUUUCAGAGUUUCAGAAUUGAGAUUUCAAAGUAAAUUCAGCUUAAUUCCUGAAGGAUUCAGCUUUGAAGAUCUCACUUGCAGCAUGUCGCAAGUUGUUGGAAGCUUACUUCCUGCACAGGAAAUUUCUAAAGGAUGCUGAAAUCUGAAGCUAGAUUGCAGCAUUGUAAAUGCAGGAUUCCAAUCAUGGAGGGGUUUAGAAGACAGUAACCCCAAACCACAGAGUAAAGGUUGUCCUUGGAAUAUAAUUCCAAUAGGGUUUGCACGAAACAAUUCACAUUUAGUUAUUAGUUCACACUCUUCAGCAGAAACAUAUGUGAACUCCUUGGAUUAAGUUUCAGCAUUUAAGAGUUGAGGUAAUUUCAGCUUGAGUUAUGAAGGGCUCAACUCGUCAAUGACUCUCAUUUAGCAUUGAGAUAAUAGGAGGUUGAAUUCCAAUAGCUGCUCAGAAUCAACACAUAGAAUUAACACUCAACAUGUUUUAGAUGCCAAGUUACAGAUCCUUUCAAUUCCUGUUGAUUUAUGUUCAUAACUUCUUUUUUUCUGACUAACUUCAGCUUCCACAAUGGCUUAAAUGAUAACAUUUACACUCCCAUAAUCUUCUAAAUUUAAUGUUUAUCUCAAAUAAUUCAACUUCCUAUAAACCCCACUAUAGAUUCAGCAAGUGUUGCAAAAUAGAGACCUAUCAGUCCUCAAUUGCAGUAGGCAGAAUAUCAAAACAUCCAAGUCUGUGUAGCAUCAAAGGAAGAAGACCAUCUAAAACAUACAUAUCUAAUAGGCUGGGUACCCGAAGACAAUGGUGGUUCAUUGCAAAUUGAUGAGGAGAAUAAUCGGAUGCUCAAUUUCUGCACUGUAAUUCGAAAUACAGUUUUAGAAAUCAGCUACAACUUCUGCUUCAAAUCCUGAUCUUUUUUCCCUUUUUCUUAUUUGCUUCCUUGGUUGUAACUUUUUUUUUUCAACUCAUGCUAACUUACUGAUUCUUUUUCUGGAAUGAAGCUGGAUAGUUUCGGAAAUUCAAUCCAUUGAAGUUGUAUGCUUCGAACCAUGGAAAUCUUGGAAAGAAAAAAACAACAAAUGACAAUGAGAUGGUCACAGGUUUAAUUGAAAGGCUUGAAUCAUGAAAAAUCUUGCAAAGGAGGGAAUGCCACUUGGAAAUAAGAUAGCACAAGCUUUGAUUUAAGUCAUCACUGCAACAGAAAAAGCUCAUCUUCUCCCAACAAAACGGAAAGACGACAGGAUUGGUACAACCAUCCAGUAGCUGAACAGAUAUCAAACACCAACUUUAGCACUUCCGAUUCCCAAAAUUCAGCUUCAAGGACUCAGUUCAAAAGAAAUCAGAAUGCUAUUUGUAAAAACAUUUCAGUAACCACUCCCUUCUUGAAUUGCUUGAAGAUGUCUUCUUGUUGCUCAUAUGCAGGAGUUACUGAAGUUAAACCAACUGCUGUAUUUCAGUUUCAGUAAUCAACCCAUAAAUGCUCACAAAUCAGAGAAUCCAAAGGAUUGCAGUUACGUCAAAAUCAGAUUAAAGGAUUUUAGAAAUCAGAAAUCUUAGUUUCUGUAAUUUCAGAAUUUGGAUUCAGAUUCAGUUAUACUUAAAUUCUGUAGUAACCAUUUUCUCCAAGGCUUUUGAGUCAGUAAGGGGUGGCUUCAUGGAAUAAAUGGAACAUCAAAUGACUAAUGAAAGAGCAAAGAGCUGCACUCGGAAUAUCCACGGAUCAGAUGCUGCAAGGCAAACUUGGCACACAACAAUACUUCAAGUUUUUUUUUCCUAUAAUGCAGUUCUUUUUUUCCCUCAAUUUCGGGUCAUUGCUACAUUUACAUCAGAUUAAAACAUCCUUUUCCAUAUUGAGAUAAGCCUUCCACUACAUUGUAAACAUCCUUCCAAUUUGGUACACAUAUGACUCAAGAAUCCUUGUUUCAGCUCAGAAAUUCAAAACUUCAGAUAAGGCAAUCAGAUUCAAAGGAAAUUCAGGUUUAGAAUCAUUAAAGGCUUGUAAAGGAAAGAAUACCAAUUGACAAUAAGGGAAUAAGAGUUUAACUUUUCACUGAUCACAAACUUGCAGCAAAAGCUUGGCACACAAAUCACAACAUACAGAAUUUUCAGAAACUCCAGUUUCACCACAGACAGUAACAAUAGAGCAAGCAAAUGCAAUCCUUGAUCCCAUGAGGCAGACAUCCAUAUUGUUUGAAAAUGCUACUAGUAUGAUUAGGUAAUCAAGAGAAAAUAGAACCACCAAAGAAACAAGACAGAGAGCUGAUAACCAAGUAGAGCAGUGGGAUUAACUCACUGAUACUGAUUAGUUUUCCAAUACGGAAUCUAGGAAGGAAUGCUUUCAUACUGUCCAAUCCAUUCCUCCCCUAUGCUUAUCAGCAAAUUCUGGAAAAUUCAGAAUCACUGUAUUUUCCAAAAAAAACAAAGCAAUCAUCUGCUGAGCUUGUCCUCCCAUGUAUGAAACUACAAUCUUCAACUUUCUGAAUUCAGCAAUUCCAGCAUUGUCAAUUCCAAAAAACAUAAUUCUGCCUAGUUCCAUUUUGAGACUUAUGAGCCAAUGCAAGGUGAGCUUCAUGGAACCAAUUGACAUUGUUUUCAACAAACCUUGUAACUAGAAUUCCUGGAACUGAUUUCAGCAGCAAGGUCCUGAAAAAAUUCCAACUGUUUUUACAUAAUUUCCAACUUCUUGUGCAGAUUUUUCCACAAGUUCUAUCAGAUUUAGUUACUGACUCCUACACCACUAAAACCUAAUUUUCUCACAUCUGUAGCAAGAACUUGACCACAACAUCAAAUUCAGCAACUCAACUUUACGAUUUCAGAAUUAGAGCUCCUUAAUUCUUUAGCUUAACAAGUUUCAAGGACAAGUUUUAAGGAAGUUGCAAGCAUAUUAAAAAAUAUGAUGGAUAGAUGUACACUGGUUUAAAAUGUUUUUAUUCCUUUGUUCCCUAGCAUAUAUUAUUAUACAUAAGUACUACAAGACUCUAGAUAAUGAAGCCUCGCAGAAUAGUUAUAUAACUGUGCUAACUUGCUAACUCUUGUUGUUGAUUCUUAUCUACCAUUUUAAUGUUUUUCUCCUAAUGUGCUUUUGAAGAUUAAAGUACCCCAUCCAAGGUAUCCAUCAGCUAGAGUUUCUGUACAAGUGCCCAAUCUCUGUGUUCAUUUUUCUUCAGAAAGAUAUUUCAGGAUCAUGGAACUCAUGGGAAUAUUGCAUGGGUCAAGUAAAAUCAUAGAGCAAAACCUUGAUGCCCAUCUGCAAUCUGGUGAUAAACCUUGGCAUCCUGUUGAUCUUGCAACUAAUGCUAGAACUCUAGUUUGGCAGCAUGGCUAGUGGACAAGUACUUAAAGUUCCGCCAGCGAGUGAAGAUGGAUUAGCUAAUGCUAUUUCUAUUAACCACAGAGGAGUUGAUAUUCAGAAGUUAAUUUUUAAAUUGGAUGGUGUCUCAUUUGAUACUGAUUCGUGCAUCCUAUUGCUUCUCCGGCCUUUUGUUCAUCCUAAAGGUGUAAUAUGAAGAAGUUAAUGGUUCCACACUAAAAGAUCUUAAUAUUUUUUUUUAACAAAAAACACAUUAUUUUUAUGUCAUUUUUUUGUCCAAGUCUUCUAUUGGUUUC